UACAGAGGUCCCAAGCGUUGUUCGGAUUCACUGGGCGUAAAGGGUGCGUAGGUGGCCAGGUAAGUCUGAUGUGAAAUCUCGGAGCUUAACUCCGAAACGGCAUUGGAUACUAUCUGGCUAGAGGGUCGGAGGGGAGACUGGAAUUCUCGGUGUAGCAGUGAAAUGCGUAGAUAUCGAGAGGAACACCAGUGGCGAAGGCGAGUCUCUGGACGACUCCUGACACUGAGGCACGAAAGCUAGGGGAGCAAACAGG
rnacentral:rRNA from 1 species